rnacentral:lncRNA from 1 species
AGUUGCUGCCAUGGAGUCAGCCGGGCUAGAGCAGCUCCUACGGGAGCUGCUGCUACCGGACACCGAGCGCAUCCGUCGGGCCACGGAACAGCUCCAGAUCGUUCUUCGGGCCCCCGCCGCUUUGCCGGCUCUCUGCGACCUGCUAGCCUCGGCGGCCGACCCCCAGGUGAGACCCCUGACUCUCCCCUCCGAGCUUCCCACUGUACGCCACCGGUCAAGCCCCAGUAUUCGCCCACUGCGGUCCGCUCAGCACCUUCCUGCCCGGACCCCCACGUGCUUGCUUCCUCGUCCUAGAUCCGCCAGUUUGCGGCCGUGCUGACCCGCAGACGACUGAACACCCGCUGGCGACGGCUGGCGGCGGAGCAACGGGAGAGCCUCAAGUCCCUGAUCCUGACGGCCCUGCAGAGAGAAACAGAGUAAGUACCUACCCACUUCUCUCGGGAUCUUGACGACUUUGUCUAGGUUUCUGCCUUCCUUUUCGGCUCCAGGCUGGGACUUGUGGGGCAGGGACUUCAGUUCUAGACGCAAGG